CGGGUGAGUAACACGUGGGUAACCUGCCUCGUAGUGGGGGAUAGCCUUUCGAAAGGAAGAUUAAUACCGCAUAACAUAGUUUAACCGCAUGGUUAGAUUAUCAAAGGAGUAAUCCGCUAUGAGAUGGACCCGCGGCGCAUUAGCUAGUUGGUGAGGUAACGGCUCACCAAGGCGACGAUGCGUAGCCGACCUGAGAGGGUGAUCGGCCACAUUGGAACUGAGAUACGGUCCAA
rnacentral:rRNA from 1 species